AGUUAAUUAACUGAUCUAACUGAGCGGCGCACGAAGGCGUGUCACGAGCAGUGUGAUGCAAAAGAAAGAACUUGACCGAUCGUAUUAGGAAUGGCCGACCAAACUUAGUCGACAUCUGACGUCAUCAGUAAAAACAGCUGUUUAACGUAGAGACCUGACAUAAAAUGACAUCCACUAAAAAGACGAACGUAAAGAGUACGGUCAAAUCAAUAUACGUCAACUCCCGUAAAAGUGACAGAGUUUAUUAAUGAAUAAAAAUCUGUGAAUCAUUUCAGGUAAUUAUCUAAAAUCUAAACUAUCACAAAGAUGAGGUUAUAAUAUAAUUGACAAUAAUAUUAACAGCUAUUUUA